AUACGUAGGGUGCAAGCGUUGUUCGGAUUUACUGGGCGUAAAGAGAUCGUAGGUGGUUUAUUAAGUCGGAUGUGAAAUCCCGGGGCUCAACCCCGGAACUGCAUUCGAUACUGGUAGACUAGAGUUUGGGAGGGGUAAGCGGAAUUCCGUGUGUAGCAGUGAAAUGCGUAGAUAUACGGAGGAACACCUGAGGCGAAGGCGGCUUACUGGACCAAUACUGACACUGAGGAUCGAAAGCGUGGGUAGCAAACAGGAUUAGAAACCCCUGUAGUCC
rnacentral:rRNA from 1 species